UAUGUACUUGUAUUUGGAUCUGGUACAAAACUUUAUGUGACAGGUAAGAGAUUCAUUCCUCUGACUUUCAGCAGAUAAACAAAGCACUAGUCAUUAGUAAUUAUAAUUAAUCUAUAUGUCUAAUCUGUUUCCAAAAUAAUUGAGAAAACAUCCUGCAACAUUGCUCCACAAAUAUGCAUUAUUCACGAUCAACUCUUGUUCGAAAAUAAAAACAAAUAUUAUGAAUUUCAAAGCCUGUUAUUCGCAUGUUGAAUUGAUCAUUCUGAUUUUCAAUGAUGCCAUAUGAACAAUUUACAGUAUAUUGCAUGUCCUUACUCUUAGAGAUAUACACCCUCAGUUAAAUUUGUGAUAGAAAUGUUAAGUAAUUUGAUAUAGGGUAAGAAUGUUGAACUGUUUACUGAACUAGUAAUCUUAUGAAUUAAAUGAUAUUGAAAGUUUAAUUUACAUUAUAUAGAAAUAAGAUAUUCCAGAAAGGAUAUUUCUUAUGAAAAAUAAAAUCUAGUUCAUUUAUUUAUGUAUGUAAUUAAUUGUUUACUUGAAUAUAGACAGUAAAGCUGGAUAUAAAACAAAUGCUGUGGGACAUCAUGAUUCAACAGACUACCUCUGAAGUCUGACAACUUGUGUGUGAUGUCCCUUUAAAGAAGACUGUAAAUGUUAUUGUUUCUCUUGAAAAUCAGACAACAAUAGUGUACAAAAACCCAAAGUGACGGUCUACCCAGCGUCCAAACCUGAGCCAAAUAGGAAAACCACCCUGCUAUGUCUGGCUAGAGACAUGUUUCCAGACUUGGUCAAGAUUUCAUGGAAGAUGGUGGAUGAAAAUGGCCAAACAGUAGAGGUACCCAAAGCAGAGAGGGAAGAGCUGGAACAGAGGGAGGAAGGACGGACAACCAGUAUGAUCAUCAUUGAUAAAGACAAGACAUACAGGAACAAAUACAGCUGUUCUGUGGAGCAUGAAGGGGGCCCUCAAGAUGUUAACAUACCAGAAGAGGAACCAACUGAAGCUUCUCCAACCACCAUGGCUUCACCAACCACUCUGCAGGUUACCAACGAUUCAUUAAAGUCCAUAUGCAGUCUGAACUUGGCCUCUCUGGUUUACACAGUGAUGAUAGUGAAGAGCAUGGUGUACUGCUAUGGGCUCUCUUUCCUGCUGCACUACAGGAACAUGGGUUGUAGACCCAAAACCUGUAGACAAAUUCAUUGAAAGGAUAUCCCUAUAUAUUGUGUUUCCCUCCUUAAAAUGAAUAUCACAUAAUAUUUAGUUUUGAUGAUUGUGGGAGCCACCCACUACAGACACUUGAAUACAGUUCAGUUAAGGAGAGCAAAUCUUGAUGGUAGAAAUAUGAUUGAAAUAUUGACAGUUUUAUUAAAGUUGCCUUGUUGUAUGUCAUAGCGUCAAAUUACUUUUUUACAAAAUCUGUAUUUGAUUUUUACAAAAAUAUUUACCUAAUUAUCAUAUGUAUUUCUUUAAAUAUGUUGUUAUUAAAUAUAUGGCCCUUGAUUUCUAAACAUGUGUCAUUAUACAAAAUCAUUUUUAGUAACUUGUCAAGUGUGUAAUAAAGUGUAUUUUUUCUCAAGUAAUUAGAGUUAGUUUUCUGACAGUAUUUCAUAUCUUCAUUAAAUUUUCUCAUUCAUUUACCAUGAAUAAUAGAAAAUCUAGCUUUUUUUUGCUUUAAAAAACUAAAUGAUAAGUGCUUAUUGAGCCAGAAAAUUGAUCUAUGAGUGAAAUCAGUCAUUUGUGAUUUUUUACAAUGAUACAAUGCUGUUGUUGUUUAAUUUUUUACGUUGAUACAUAAAGCUUGUAUGAAAAGUGACAUUUCCUUGUGUAACACAGCCUUGUAGUGAGCAAAGUUUCUCAAAAUAACCAUAUCCUUUCAGAUGGGGAUGGUUUUAAUUAUUUCUGCCUUCAUGAAAGAAAAGUUAAAAAAACAUGGUUCUGCAAUGUAUUGUAUAGCCUACAUUUUGUACAGUUCCGUGCUAUUUUGAAUGAGGAAACUGUCACCAUAAUAAAAAAUUAAUGUUUCUUAAAACCCCCAAAACAUUGUAUUUCUUAUAAGAUCAUCUAUUCUUAUUUUAGAACAUUUUAAAUUAUUGAAUCACAUCAGAAGCGGAACAAUAAGAUCAUAAGAUCCCUUAUUCUCUGUUUUCAACCUGUUUGCUUAAAUGUGCAUGCUCUGACGCAGGUGUAGAGACUAUAGAC
rnacentral:lncRNA from 8 species